GUUGACUUGGAAUUUCUGUGGAUGAUUCUUUGUGACUGCUUUAUUGUAAGUUUCUUUAUGGGUUCCCAUUAUUUCAAACAUUUCUGUUUCAGCUACUUGCUACAUUGCCUGAUGAUGUUCAGCCUGGACCCGAUUUUCGUGGCCUGUCACGGAAGCCUGUGCUUAUCACUGCCUCCUUAGGAAUUGUUUCAUUUGCCAUUUUCUUCUGGAGAACCAUCCUUGUUAUGCUGGAAUUCUAUGGGGAUCAAGAUGGAGCCUGAGAGGUUCUCACCAAUUAUGCCUAUGAUGAGAAGUUCCCAUCGAAUCCAAAUGCUCAUAUCUACUUAUACAACUUUCUCAAGAGAGAGAAGGCCCCAAGAGAGAAACUGAUAAGCGUGCUUAAGGUACUUUAUUACCAAGGUUGCCAUCAGAACCAGGAAUGACGUUACUCACUAUCAGAAUUGAGAAAAUCGGUCUGAAAGAUGCCGGGCAGUGCAUUGAUCCCUAUAUUACAGUUAGUGUAAAGGGUAAAUAAUUGUGUCUACAUUUCCCCCCUCUGGUGAAUUGUAUAAUGUUGCUUCUCAUUUGGGACAUUUGGGGCAGGGGGUGAGGGGGCCUCAUGUAUCUAUGAUGACUCAUUUAGUUCAUUCUACAGUGAGGCAAAAUCCCUGAGAAGAGGUAGUCGUUCCUCCCUACACAUCUCUGAGAGAUUUACUGAAAAUGCUUUGCUGUUUAUACCUUACCUUCGCAUUUGCUUCUGACUUCUUCUUUGUAUAUGUCUUUUUAUUCUUAAAAUUCCAUGAGGCUGAGGCCAGCUCAGUGGCAUAGUGGUUAAGUUUGCACGCUUCACUUCAGUGGCUGGAGUUUGUGGGUU